rnacentral:rRNA from 1 species
AGAGUUUGAUCAUGGCUCAGAUUGAACGCUGGCGGAAUGCUUUACACAUGCAAGUCGAACGGCAGCACGGACUUCGGUCUGGUGGCGAGUGGCGAACGGGUGAGUAACAUAUCGGAACGUAUCCAAUAAUGGGGGAUAACUAAUCGAAAGGUUGGCUAAUACCGCAUACGCCCUACGGGGGAAAGCUAGGGACCUUCGGGCCUGGCGUUAAUGGAGCGGCCGAUAUCUGAUUAGCUAGUUGGUGGGGUAAAGGCCCACCAAGGCGACGAUCAGUAGCUGGUCUGAGAGGACGACCAGCCACACUGGAACUGAGACACGGUCCAGACUCCUACGGGAGGCAGGAGUGGGGAAUUUUGGACAAUGGGCGCAAGCCUGAUCCAGCCAUUCCGCGUGAGUGAAGAAGGCCUUCGGGUUGUAAAGCUCUUUCGCAAGGGAAGAAAACUUAUCCUCUAACAUAGGAUGAGGUUGACGGUACCUUGAUAAGAAGCACCGGCUAACUACGUGCCAGCAGCCGCGGUAAUACGUAGGGUGCGAGCGUUAAUCGGAAUUACUGGGCGUAAAGCGUGCGCAGGCGGUUUUGUAAGUCAGAUGUGAAAUCCCCGAGCUCAACUUGGGAACUGCGUUUGAAACUACAAGACUAGAAUAUGUCAGAGGGGGGUAGAAUUCCACGUGUAGCAGUGAAAUGCGUAGAGAUGUGGAGGAAUACCAAUGGCGAAGGCAGCCCCCUGGGAUAAUAUUGACGCUUCAUGCACGAAAGC